rnacentral:lncRNA from 1 species
AUCAAUCAUGGCAACUCAGUCUGUGUAUGAUGCAUCCAUGCCAAGACCUAGCAGAAAAAUGGUCAGAGGAGAGAUCCUUCCCAGUGCUUGGGUCCUGCAGCCUGUUCUCUUGGAGGGGAAAGAAAUAACCAGAGUCAUCUUCCUUGUUCAGGUAGAGCUGGGUGCACCAGGCUUCCCUCCCCAUCUUCUCAACUCCUUUAUCAAACAGCAGCCGUUGGUUGUGGCCAAGCUGGCAUCUUUCCUUCGCCGUUAGUGUUGGGCCAUGGAGACAGCACUGCUGAGGUGUAGGCCCAGGACACCUGAGACUCCAGCUGCUUCUAGACCCAGAGGCAAGAGGAGCCAGCAAAACCAGUACUUAGUACCUGGUUACCUCUAAGAGUGAGCAACCUGAAGCUUCUGGCCGUAGCUGUCCAAAGAGUGAAAUCAGCUCACCUUCAGGAUGUCUCCCCUUUAUUCCUGCCUCGGGGGCUCAAUGGCACCGAGUGUCCAAAACUGGAAAAGGCACAGCCCACAGAGCUGGAGACUGCAGUGCUUUGGCAAGGUGCCUUCUUGGCAGGCAGGCACUGGCCAAGGGUGCUCUGGAUCUGCCUCCAAAAUUCAGUUCCAUUUUGUGAUGGCGUGGUAGAAAGGACCAAACCAUACAGUUUAAAGAAUCAUCUACACAAACC